rnacentral:rRNA from 1 species
GAUGAACGCUGGCGGCGUGCCUAAUACAUGCAAGUUGAGCGAACAGAUGAGAAGCUUGCUUCUCUGAUGUUAGCGGCGGACGGGUGAGUAACACGUGGGUAACCUACCUAUAAGACUGGGAUAACUCCGGGAAACCGGGGCUAAUACCGGAUAAUAUUUUGAACCGCAUGGUUCAAUAGUGAAAGACGGUUUCGGCUGUCACUUAUAGAUGGACCCGCGCCGUAUUAGCUAGUUGGUAAGGUAACGGCUUACCAAGGCGACGAUACGUAACCGACCUGGGAGGGUGAUCGGCCACACUGGAACUGAGACACGGUCCAGACUCCUACGGGAGGCAGCAGUAGGGAAUCUUCCGCAAUGGGCGAAAGCCUGACGGAGCAACGCCGCGUGAGUGAUGAAGGUCUUCGGAUCGUAAAACUCUGUUGUUAGGGAAGAACAAAUUUGUUAGUAACUGAACAAGUCUUGACGGUACCUAACCAGAAAGCCACGGCUAACUACGUGCCAGCAGCCGCGGUAA